UGUUCCACAGAAUACUGGCUCUCUGGCAUGGAGUUUGGGAACCUGCCUGCUGUGCGUCCCUCUCGAGAGUCUCAGUGGCCUUUUGGGUAUUCAAGGCUCUGGUGCUUCAGGAAGAGAAGCCACAGGGAAGAAAGGAGGGCUUCAGACAUUCACAGUCCCGGAGUCAUGGCUGCAUGGUUGACUGGAUUUUUGUCCCCCUAUUGGACUGAGGGGUGUGUGGAACAGAGCUGGAGGGGUGGGCAGAGAGGGGAAAGGCUGUCCUGCCUCUGAGCUCACCCCCCAGGCUGUGGCUGGCCCUCUGCUCCCCCUACUCAAUCUCCUGGCCUUCAGGAUUAAGGACCCUAGGCUGUUACCCCCCAGAUCAUUCUCCACCCACUUCUCUGCCUUUGGAAGCCCCUCUGUCCUCCUCUUGUCCACUCACCUCAAAUACCCCUGAAUUAAUACAAAUAAAAUAAUAAUAGUAGCAAUGACCAGCACGCAUAUGCACUUACUAAGCAUCCU
rnacentral:lncRNA from 10 species